UAACUUUAUUUUUCUAGUUACUAAGGAAUAGUAAUAAACGCCGCUGAACCGGGCUCGUUCCCAGGGUUGCCACACGCUAGAUAUUUAUUUUUUAUUUUUUUUAAUAAUUGGCUUUUUAAUACCAAAAUAUAUCUUGGCCGAUUGGUCCUGUUCAUUUUGCUUACAAUUGGAAUUAAGUCCGCAAUGCUCACGCGGGAGCGGACAGGGCACAGUUAUUUUUCAAUCUUUUAUUCGAAGCCCACCUCAAAACAUGUCCCUAUCUACUAUCUAGCGAAACCACAGCCAAGGGAACGGGCUUGGAAAAAUCAGCGGGGAAAGAAGACCCUGUUGAGCUUGACUCUAGUCUGACUCUGUGAAGAGACAUGAGAGGUGUAGCAUAAGUGGGAGGCCGUGAACCCUCGCGGUUGUGUCGUGCCGUCAGUGAAAAGAAGAACCUGGGAGAGCGUCCGGGAGCACAGACGUUCGGGUGUGUACAAGGAGGCUUUAGCAAGGGAGAGGUCGAGGUCCAGGUUGAGGAGGACGCACGAGACACUGGAAGAAAGCACCUUCUGGGAUGAGGACACAUCAACCGCAGUCAUCGAGGAUCAGCCUCCGAUCCAAGUGUCUCUCGACUCAACCCUGGUGGCUGACUUCCAAGAGGGCGUGAGUGGAGGGAGUACAGAUGAAUUGUACAGUACUCCGUUGCGAACUCCUCCGCCCCCCAGACAGACGGUCCUCCCUGCAAGUAGGUCCAACCUUCCAUCACCGGUCCACCCAGCACGUGUGUCCACGCUACCAUCACCAGCGACGGCGCCAGUGCCACCAACCGUAGAUCCUCUGCAGCUUCCACCCCUCACGGAAUUCAACUCGUACGGGCGUUGGACAGCGUCAGAGUUGGUGGCACUGGCAAGGGCUGAACUGGACUGCGCCAACGAGCCCUACAUCAACCAAGCUCUAGCUAGGACUUUUACAUCUCGUUCCUGGCUCAGCAUCUCCGGUCAGCGCCGGUCGGAGCGCUAUCGCGACAUCCUGGCUAGGGAGAGA
rnacentral:ncRNA from 1 species